CAACUUUCAGCAACGGAUCUCUUGGCUCUCGCAUCGAUGAAGAACGCAGCGAAAUGCGAUAAGUAAUGUGAAUUGCAGAAUUCAGYGAAUCAUCRAAUCUUUGAACGCACCUUGCGCUCCUUGGUAUUCCGAGGAGCAUGCCUGUUUGAGUGUCAUUA
rnacentral:rRNA from 1 species